AUGGGAUGAGCCAAGCCCGUGCAGUAG
rnacentral:snRNA from 1 species